GGGCGCGAGGUGCGGGGAGACGGCUGCAGGGGCUCCCGCCGGCCCGGCAGCAGCGCCGCGGCCGCGCGAGGCGUUUGGUGUCGGCUGCGGGCCGUCCCGCCAGGGCCCUCUGACGUGCUGCGUGUGCACAGGUGGCUGCGCGGUGCCCGUCAGUGCGCCGCCCGUGGCGGGGUCUGUGUUCGGGGACGGGUGUGUUUGUGGCUGCAGUUGAGGCAGUUCGUCCCGGCCCUCCAGACCUCCCCAGCCCCACUCUCGGCCUCGUGGUCCUGGCACGCCCGCUGCUUCUGCCCCGGAUGCUUCCUCUGGGCUCCGCCCCCAGCACGUCCACGUCACGCCUGCUGCCUUAGUCCUGCAGAAAUCCUGCGCUUUGGGUUUGUGCCACCUUCUGUAAGUUGAAAGCUUCUGGACCAAGUGCGGCAGUGAGAUGGAGUCAGAAGAGGAGGUAUUGCCAUCAGAGAGUCAGCAAAGGUGGUUGACCAAGCCCAAAGGAGGGUGCUGAGGAGAGUUGAUGACCUGGACUUUUUCAUAGGGGAUGAAGCCAUAGAUAAACCCACAUAUGCCACAAAGUGGCCAAAAAGACAUGGAAUAAUUGAAGACUGGGAUCUAAUGGAGAGGUUCAUGGAAUAAGUUAUUUUUAACUUUCCCUGAGCUGAACCUGAGGGCCAUCACUUUUUGAUGACAGAACCUCCUCUGAAUACACCAGAAAAUAAAGAAUAUCUUGCAGAAAUUAUGUUCAAAUUAUUUAAUGUACCGGGACUCUACAUUGCAGUUCAGGUGGAAGGUUAGGUAAUUGGAAGCUGCAUCAAACACAUCCCUAUUGCAGGUAGAGAUAUGUAUUUCAUUCAACAGCUGCCAAGGGAGAGGGAGGUGGGAAUCCCUCCUGAGCAACCACUGGAGACCACAAAGGCCAUUAAGGAGAGGUACUGUCACAUUUGCCCCAAUAUAGUCAAGAAGUUUGCCAAGUAUGACGUGGAUCAGCGGAAGUGGAUCAAACAGCAAACAGGGAACAAUGCCAUAAGCCAGAAGAAAUUCAUUAUUGAUGUUGGCUAGGAAAGUUUCCCAGGCCCUGAAAUUUUCUUUCACCCAGAGAUUUACAGGAUUCUUGAAGUAGAGCUGGCCUUCUAGCCUGAGUACCUUAUUUAACAGAUGAUGACACUGAGCCCUACAGAUAGGAAAAGGAGGCAAAACUGGAGGGACCUGGGUCACAUGGGGCAAACUGGUCUUUGACGUUUUUCUAAUUGAGGUAGGGUUGAUGUACAAUAUUAUAUAAGUUCCAGGUUGCAGUUUUUAAAGGUUAUACUCCAUUUAUAGUUAUCAUAAGAUAUCAGCUAUAUUCCCUGUGCUGUAUAACAUAUCCUUGUAGCUUAUUUAUUGUAUAAGUAGUAGUUUGUACCUCUUAAUUCCCUAUCCCAGUCUUGCCCUCCCCUCUUCCCUGUCUCCAUGGAUACCCAUUAGUUUGUUCUCCAUACCUGUGAGUCUGUUUUUUGUUGUUGUUGUUGUUGUUAUGUUCACUAGUUUUCUUUUUCAGAGUUCAUAUAUAAGUGAUAUUCUACAGUAUUUGUUUUUUCUGUCUGACUUAUUUCACUCAGCAUAAUACUCCACAAGUCCAUCUAUAUUGUUGCAGAUGGCAACAUUUCAUUCUUUUUUAUGGCUCAGUAAUAUUCCAUUUUAUAUAUACCACAACUUCUUUAUCCAGUCAUCUGUUGAUGGACACUUAGUUUGCUUCCAUAUCUUGGCAAUUGUAAAUAAGGUUACCAUGAACAUUGGGGUUCAUAUAUAUUUUUAGGUUAAUGUUUUCAUUUUCUUUGGAUGAAUACCCAGAAGUGGAAUUGCUAGAUCAUAUAUUAGUUCUAUUUUUAGUUUUUUGAGAAGCCACCGUCCUGUUUUCCAUAGUGGUUGUAAUAGUUUGCAUUUCUAUUGUUCCUUCUUUUCCUAGUUUGGGUGUAUAAACUAUACUGACUAAACCCAGAGUGAACUAGUUGCUCACAGUGUCUCUCAAUGUGACUACACAUUGAAUCAAGUGGGAAGCUUUUCAAAUCUGGAUGCCUGGGCCAAUUAUAUCAGAAUCUCUGGGUG